UACGUAGGUCCCGAGCGUUGUCCGGAUUUAUUGGGCGUAAAGCGAGCGCAGGUGGUUUAUUAAGUCUGGUGUAAAAGGCAGUGGCUCAACCAUUGUAUGCAUUGGAAACUGGUAGACUUGAGUGCAGGAGAGGAGAGUGGAAUUCCAUGUGUAGCGGUGAAAUGCGUAAAUAUAUGGAGGAACCCCGGUGGCGAAAGCGGCUCUCUGGCCUGUAACUGACACUGAGGCUCGAAAGCGUGGGGAGCAAACAGG
rnacentral:rRNA from 1 species